UACAGAGGUCUCAAGCGUUGUUCGGAUUCAUUGGGCGUAAAGGGCGCGUAGGCGGCGGGGUAAGUCGGGUGUGAAAUCUCAGAGCUCAACUCUGAAAUGGCACUUGAUACUGCUCUGCUAGAGGAGUGGAGAGGAGAUUGGAAUUCACGGUGUAGCAGUGAAAUGCGUAGAUAUCGUGAGGAAGACCGGUGGCGAAGGCGGAUCUCUGGACAGUUCCUGACGCUGAGACACGAAGGCCAGGGGGAGCAAACGGGG
rnacentral:rRNA from 1 species